CUAAAAACGAUAGUUUGGUGACAAAAAGUGAUUGAUUCUUCAGAUAGUUUGGCAGCAGGCGCUUGCGACGCUUGACAAUGACUUGAAUCUUUUGAAUUGAUUUAGUUAGCGAAAAAGAUAAAAAGUCGGACAUGUUCCAUUCUCAAUGGGAUCUUUCGCCAACCUAUUUGAACCUUGAAAUUUCGAUUACUAUUUGCUAUUGUUGAUAACCGUACCCUAAACCGCAUCAGGUCUCCAAGGUUAACAGCCUAUGGUUAAGUGGAAUAAAGUAGAUGAGGGAAGUCGGCAAAUUCGAUCUGUAACUUUGGAAAAGGAUUGGCUCUGGACGUCAGUGAUUUAACUUGUUAAGUCACAAUUAUGACAUAUCCAGAACUGGUGUUGACUAGAGGAAUCUGACUGUUUAAUUAAAACAAAGCAUUGUGUAAAGUUGAAAACUAUACACGCAAUGUGAUUUCUGCCCAGUGCUCUGAAUGUUAUUGUGAUGAGAUUCGCAUAAGCGCGGGUAAACGGCGGGAGUAACUAUGACUCUCUUAAGGUAGCCAAAUGCCUCGUCGUCUAAUUAAUGACGUGCAUGAAUGGAUCAAUGAGAUUCCUACUGUCCCCAACUACUAUCCAGUGAAACCACAGCCAAGGGAACGGGCUUGGCAAUAUAAGCGGGGAAAGAAGACCCUGUUGAGCUUGACUCUAGUUUGAUAUUGUAAAACUACUUGGAAGAUGUAGCAUACGUGGGAGCAUCUAAUGCGACAGUGAAAUACCACGGCUUCUAAUGUGGCUUUGCUCACUCGGAAUUAGUGGAUCUGCUCUGCAGAAACGCGAAACUAAAGUGUAAACGACAUUCACUGAGGACAUUAUCAAAUGGGGAGUUUGGCUGGGGCGGCACAUCUGCUAAACAUCAACGCAGAUGCCCUAAGGUUAACUCAAGGAGAACAGAAAUCUCUUGUAGACCGAAAGGAGAAAAGUUAGCAUUAUUCGGAUUUGUAUCAUCAAUAAGAAUUGCGAAAGCAUGGCCUAUCGAUCCUUUAAGCCCAGAAAGAUUCUGGCUAGAGGUGACGGAAAAGUUACCACAGGGAUAACUGGCUUGUGGCAGCCAAGCGUUCAUAGCGACGUUGCUUUUUGAUCCUUCGAUGUCGGCUCUU
rnacentral:ncRNA from 1 species